UCCACAAGAACACAAAAAAAAUACUAAAAAACACGAUUUUGAAUUUCAAAAAACUUUUAUUUUCAUCUUUCUCUGUUCGCAUGCAUCCAUCGUGCUCUUCACAUGACCCACUCUUGAACAGGUUCUCGUACCUCUGUCAGUAGAGCUCAUCAUUGUUUACAAAUUUUCCAUCCAACUUAUUGACCGUUUUAAAUCUGUUUUGGAAUUUUAACAAAAAAAAGGUCAAGUUCAAAGGAGGGAGGACAGUGGGAGCCAAAAGCGUCCGGGUGCAGCCCACACACAUCCUUCAGGGGUCAGCGCUGAACUCACGGCCCACUCCUCUGUGUGGGGAGCUCUUUGUGUUUUCUCUCUCUGUGUCUUGGCCUCAUGAAUAAGCCCCUCGCUACAGUGGGCCUCAGUGUGACGGCAGUUCUUCAGCAGGACAAGAGGCACAAGGGGGAUAAAAGGGACUUUAUCUGAGGGAAAGGUGGGGCAGGUGGAGGAUACUUUAAAGACUUUCGGUGACCAUCAAAUUUUAACGUGUAAAAGCACAAAUCGGCAGCUGAUUGAAGAUUUUUCUUUGCUCCUAACAGCUGGGGGCUGAAACCUAAACAUGUGUUUUGGACAAACAGAAACCAAAACCACCUCUUGCAUGUGAAAUUCACCCAACCCAGCAAACAUAACUGAUCUUGGUGUCAGAAGGCAACCACUCCUUAAAGCUCUAAAAAGGGUUUUUGUUUGGACGCCGUCACACACAUGUCAACCGUCUUGUUUUAGUGGCUCCUUCCGGUUUCCAGGGAUCCUAAAAGUGAGCCUUGAGGGAGGUGGGAGCACAUUCAUGACCUCUCUUCUACACUCCCACAUUUCACAGUCAGCUUUUUCUUUUUCUUUUUUGCAACAUAAGAAAACAGAUCCAGGUUUUGCCAUUAGGAGAUUUCUGGAAGCUUUUCUUAAGCUACAGGAAGAAGGGCUGGUUCUAAUGAGUCUUAUCCAACGUCUUGUAGGACAACACCUAUAUUUUUAUAGGUGAUUAGAAACUGACUCAGAUGGCCUUUUGGAUUGGAGGGCCCUGGGAAACGGAGUCAGCUGACAACGCAGGGAGGUCUGGGUGUUUUUGUGGGCUUUGUGUUGGCCAGACGCCCACUGCACAUCCAGCGAGUGACCGCAGCGCAAACAAUCCACUUCUGUGGACCGGCCAUGAGGAACCUGGGAGACCAGGGAGGAAGUGCCGUUUCUGACAGAUUCAGAAAAAAAAAUGUGAUUUAGUGAAAAAAUAAAUCUAAAUGUACUUGAUCCUAUACAGCUGAUUAGCCAGCGAAACUGAAAUGUUUUCCAAACACGCAAAGGGUUUUGUUUUGUUUUUUUACUGUACUUUCUCUUCCUCAUUCCAUAGUCUCAGGACUUCCUGUUGUUCUGUGUUACUUAAACUCACAAUCAGGGACGUUAAGAGGCACAGAAAUGAAGAAAAUGCAUUUGCAAAUCUCACAUCAAACUAAUCAAAUAGAUAAAGAGUCAUUUUUUUUAAGACCUCCAAAAAUAUUUGUCUGAAUGCCCAAGAAUUCCAACAUCUGUUAACCUCCUGUUUGCCCUUUCAGAAGAAAGGUUAUUUUUUUGCUCCAAGUAGCUCCUUUGAGAGACUUACACAAGUCUGGUCAUUGAUGUAGAUAAAAUGUCCAUUUAGGCAUUGAACUAAGGGAAUGCAGAUCCUAGUUUGGGUGAUUUCCUGCUUUUCGAAAUUCCUUCAUUAGCCAAGUCACUUUUAAGGUCAAUAAUGUCUUUUUUUAGCUUCUAACUCAAUAAGAAGAACUGAUCUAAUUUUCUAAUGGAAAGAAAGCUCCGUGUUUAUUUACCCUCUCCUUCAGCAUGGGAAAAGACUUUCCUAGUAGUAAUGACAUUUUUUUUAACGCAGGGAUGCAUUUUGUUUAAUUUAGCUGAAAACUCUGAAUAAGAGCAAAUAAUGUAAAUAUUGGGUUGGACAGAUUUAUCGUUUGAGCCCAAACACUGAGAAAUGUGAUGCAGUGUGACCUUAUUUGAACUUUUUGUGCACUUUUCAGGUAGCAUUAUGUGGUUGUAUUCAGUCUUAACACAUCUUGUGCUGUGCAUGUUGCAUUACUCUAAUGAAAUCACUUGUUCAUUUUUAUCUUUUGGUCUCACCUUUUUGUUCUUGGCCUUCGUCUUACUUAGUUCAACUCUUUCCUAGACCUUGUAAACAUUCACCUUUCACCUGAUUGUCUUCACAUCUCCGUCUUUGUUCUUUUGCAGUGAUGUACACAGCGCUCUUUACAUUGUUGUAGGAAAAGCCUAAACUCUGUUAGAGUUAGCUGGUCUUCAAAAAAAAAAAAAAAA